AUUGAACGCUGGCGGCAUGCCUUACACAUGCAAGUCGAACGGUAACGCGGGGCAACCUGGCGACGAGUGGCGAACGGGUGAGUAACACAUCGGAACGUGCCCAGUAGUGGGGGAUAGCCCGGCGAAAGCCGGAUUAAUACCGCAUACGACCUAAGGGUGAAAGCAGGGGAUCGCAAGACCUUGCGCUAUUGGAGCGGCCGAUGUCAGAUUAGGUAGUUGGUGGGGUAAAAGCCUACCAAGCCGACGAUCUGUAGCUGGUCUGAGAGGACGACCAGCCACACUGGGACUGAGACACGGCCCAGACUCCUACGGGAGGCAGCAGUGGGGAAUUUUGGACAAUGGGCGCAAGCCUGAUCCAGCCAUGCCGCGUGCGGGAAGAAGGCC
rnacentral:rRNA from 1 species